UCCAGACUCCUACGGGAGGCAGCAGUGGGGGAUAUUGGACAAUGGGGGGAACCCUGAUCCAGCGACGCCGCGUGAGUGAAGAAGUAUUUCGGUAUGUAAAGCUCUGUCAGCAGGGAAGAAAGAAAUGACGGUACCUGACCAAGAAGCCCCGGCUAACUACGUGCCAGCAGCCGCGGUAAUACGUAGGGGGCAAGCGUUAUCCGGAAUUACUGGGUGUAAAGGGAGCGUAGACGGUUAUGUAAGUCUGGAGUGAAAGCCCGGGGCCCAACCCCGGGACUGCUUUGGAAACUGUGUAACUGGAGUACAGGAGGGGCAGGCGGAAUUCCUGGUGUAGCGGUGAAAUGCGUAGAUAUCAGGAGGAACACCGGCGGCGAAGGCGGCCUGCUGGACUGAAACUGACGUUGAGGCUCGAAAGCGUGGGGAGCAAACAGGAUUAGAUACCCGGGUA
rnacentral:rRNA from 1 species